UGCAGUCGACGAACUCUGGUAUUGAUUGGUGCUUGCAUCAUGAUUUACAUUUGAGUGAGUGGCGAACUGGUGAGUAACACGUGGGAAACCUGCCCAGAAGCGGGGGAUAACACCUGGAAACAGAUGCUAAUACCGCAUAACAACUUGGACCGCAUGGUCCGAGUUUGAAAGAUGGCUUCGGCUAUCACUUUUGGAUGGUCCCGCGGCGUAUUAGCUAGAUGGUGGGGUAACGGCUCACCAUGGCAAUGAUACGUAGCCGACCUGAGAGGGUAAUCGGCCACAUUGGGACUGAGACACGGCCCAAACUCCUACGGGAGGCAGCAGUAGGGAAUCUUCCACAAUGGACGAAAGUCUGAUGGAGCAACGCCGCGUGAGUGAAGAAGGGUUUCGGCUCGUAAAACUCUGUUGUUAAAGAAGAACAUAUCUGAGAGCAACUGUUCAGGUAUUGACGGUAUUUAACCAGAAAGCCACGGCUAACUACGUGCCAGCAGCCGCGGUAAUACGUAGGUGGCAAGCGUUGUCCGGAUUUAUUGGGCGUAAAGCGAGCGCAGGCGGUUUUUUAAGUCUGAUGUGAAAGCCUUCGGCUCAACCGAAGAAGUGCAUCGGAAACUGGGAAACUUGAGUGCAGAAGAGGACAGUGGAACUCCAUGUGUAGCGGUGAAAUGCGUAGAUAUAUGGAAGAACACCAGUGGCGAAGGCGGCUGUCUGGUCUGUAACUGACGCUGAGGCUCGAAAGUAUGGGUAGCAAACAGGAUUAGAUACCCUGGUAGUCCAUACCGUAAACGAUGAAUGCUAAGUGUUGGAGGGUUUCCGCCCUUCAGUGCUGCAGCUAACGCAUUAAGCAUUCCGCCUGGGGAGUACGGCCGCAAGGCUGAAACUCAAAGGAAUUGACGGGGGCCCGCACAAGCGGUGGAGCAUGUGGUUUAAUUCGAAGCUACGCGAAGAACCUUACCAGGUCUUGACAUACUAUGCAAAUCUAAGAGAUUAGACGUUCCCUUCGGGGACAUGGAUACAGGUGGUGCAUGGUUGUCGUCAGCUCGUGUCGUGAGAUGUUGGGUUAAGUCCCGCAACGAGCGCAACCCUUAUUAUCAGUUGCCAGCAUUAAGUUGGGCACUCUGGUGAGACUGCCGGUGACAAACCGGAGGAAGGUGGGGAUGACGUCAAAUCAUCAUGCCCCUUAUGACCUGGGCUACACACGUGCUACAAUGGAUGGUACAACGAGUUGCGAACUCGCGAGAGUAAGCUAAUCUCUUAAAGCCAUUCUCAGUUCGGAUUGUAGGCUGCAACUCGCCUACAUGAAGUCGGAAUCGCUAGUAAUCGCGGAUCAGCAUGCCGCGGUGAAUACGUUCCCGGGCCUUGUACACACCGCCCGUCACACCAUGAGAGUUUGUAACACCCAAAGUC
rnacentral:rRNA from 2 species